rnacentral:lncRNA from 1 species
CAGAUUAUACUAGAGAACUUGAUCGAUAGAUUCACUACACAAUCUCUACAUCAGAUUAUUGUCUCAACUUGACAUCAUCGGAUUGACAUUCUCUACAUAAAGCUCGUGCGAGCGAGAGCGUGCUACAAGUCGAAAAAAAAAAUUCCCCUCUACAGCAUGUGCUCCCACAUCAUUUUCUCACUUCUCAACUUGAGUUCCACACCUCAUAAACAGUUGAGGUCUCGUUGAGGCAACACACCUGAGAGGAAGCUACAGCUGAGAGGAGCCACCUACACACUCGAGCACGCAGCCAUCACAUAGAAAAUGCCGAGAAUACAAAGUUAUCGUUGUGAACUAACUGAACUAUUGGAGACGCAUCAGCAAUUAUUGAACCAGUUAGCAGAAAAAGGAUGGACAAAUAUGAAAUAUCUAACAUUUGUGAGAGACUAUGAAAAAUUAGGAGUUUGGCAUAGUGAUAACUAUAAUCAUAUUUCAGUUUGUGAUUUAUACGGUACAUCAUAUGAUGCUUACAGGGGAAAAGAUUGCCCCGAUUCAUGGAGAUGUGAUUGUGCACAUCUUAAAGAGUCUAUCGAUAAAAUUAAAAAAUAUAUAACAGAAAAAAAUAAACAUUCAACAAAAGAACAAUUAAAUGAACUUAUCUGGAAUUUUUUAUCUAGAUGUUCAGAUGAGAGUGGGCUAGAACAAGAUUGAUAGCAUAUUAUGUUUAAUUUCAGAUUGGAGAUGG